GGGCUCACUUCAGCAGCACAUACACUAAAAUUGAAAUGAUGCAGAGAUCAACAUGUCUUCUUGCAAGGAUGACAUGCAAAUUCAUGGAGCAUGCUCUACUUUU
rnacentral:snRNA from 1 species